UACCAGCACCCCGAGUGGUCGGGACGAUUAUUGGGCCUAAAGCAUCCGUAGCCGGUUCUUCAAGUCUUCCGUUAAAUCCAGCCGCUCAACGGAUGGGCUGCGGAAGAUACUAAAGGACUAGGAGGCGGGAGAGGCAAGCGGUACUCAGUGGGUAGGGGUAAAAUCCUUUGAUCCAUUGAAGACCACCAGUGGCGAAGGCGGCUUGCCAGAACGCGCUCGACGGUGAGGGAUGAAAGCUGGGGGAGCAAACCGG
rnacentral:rRNA from 1 species